rnacentral:rRNA from 1 species
UACGGGGGGGGCAAGCGUUGUUCGGAAUUACUGGGCGUAAAGGGCUCGUAGGCGGCCAACUAAGUCAUACGUGAAAUCCCCCGGCUUAACCGGGGAACUGCGUCUGAUACUGGAUGGCUUGAGUUCGGGAGAGGGAUGCGGAAUUCCAGGUGUAGCGGUGAAAUGCGUAGAUAUCUGGAGGAACACCGGUGGCGAAGGCGGCAUCCUGGACCGAUACUGACGCUGAGGAGCG